UACGGAGGGUGCAAGCGUUAUCCGGAUUCACUGGGUUUAAAGGGUGCGUAGGUGGGCAGGUAAGUCAGUGGUGAAAUCUCCGAGCUUAACUCGGAAACUGCCGUUGAUACUAUUUGUCUUGAAUAUUGUGGAGGUAAGCGGAAUAUGUCAUGUAGCGGUGAAAUGCUUAGAUAUGACAUAGAACACCAAUUGCGAAGGCAGCUUACUACACAACGAUUGACGCUGAGGCACGAAAGCGUGAGGAUCAAACAGG
rnacentral:rRNA from 1 species